CUGCUCGACGGACCAACUGUUCGAGAAGUCUCCUAUUAGAGUGUGGUUCGCACCCAAGUCCAGCCAAGUAUCCAACUUGGCGCGCUUAUCCCUUGGGCGCGAUGGAGUCCUGCUUCUUUUAUCCCUCGCUGUCAAGUGAGGCUGUGGAGAGAACUAAAUUAGGGUCUUACCAA